ACAGUAGAUUGGUUUGUCGCUUGUUAUGGGAAGAAAGCAAUUUAUUGUUUAAUCCCCUAAGAAGAGGAAAGUCUGGGCACUAUAGAGCAGCAUAGCGGUUAAUGGCCGUCAGGCAGUAAUGUUUGGUCCCUGCUACAGAGACGAGUCCGUUGUUAGCAAUAACACGGGGUGAAACGAGCAUACUAUGUAGUGCAAUUCCAUGUAAACCUGCGAUUGAGGCUUGCUCGGCCGAGCGGGAGGGUAGGAAGCGAUAGAAUGACGCAGUAAUGCGUUCAUCAAGAUUAAUGACAAACGCACCGAAAGGUGUACAGAACCCGGCUUAUAGAUCUGCUGUAUCU
rnacentral:RNase_P_RNA from 1 species